CCUGACUGGAGCUCAGCGAGCCGAAGGGGCUGGUGGAGAAGGGGCUGCUGGUCUGGGCAGCCUAGGUUGGGAGGGAGGGUCAUGGCGGGAGUGUGGAGGAGCAAGACAUCCCCACGCCCCCCGCCCCCUGCCCCAGACCCCAGUGUUGAUGAAUAAGAAGCGGAUUAAGAAGAGUGAGAGCUGAAGAGACAGGAGAAUCAGGGACCACGAGAGCCCGUGCAAGAUCCGGAGCACAGGGGCUUCCCUGGGUCCCAGGCUUUCUGCAGGACUCACCCCCAACUACCCCGGUGUCCUCCUUCCAGCCAGCCUCCCCGCGGGUCCUGAGAGGAGAGUUUCCUAAAGAGAAGGAAGAAACUCGGACUUCCCUCCUGUUAUGUUCGGGCUCCUCUGUGAGAAAGAGGAGGAGAGAGGAAAAUGAAGGGCCCAUUCUCUGUCCCCAGAGAGCCCCCAGGAAUGUUGGGAAGAUCUGCAAGGAUGAGCCUGAACCUAGAGCGUGACCUGUAGCUGGACCCUGUGGGAACUCACACGUGCCUCCAGGAAGGACAGUGAGCGGAGCAUACACACCAAUUCUACCGAACCCGUUCCCACGCACAGUCGCCCCCACCCCGUGGUUCCAGAACUGGUGGGUUCUUGAUCUCGCUGACUUCAAGCAUGAAGCCAUGAACCUUCACUGUUGAAUGAGGUGGCCUAUUGCAGAGGAAAGAGCCCUGUCUCAGAAACAAGAGAGUUGGAACACCGAGCCUCACUCUGCCACCAAGGACCUUGGGCAGGGAGACAAGCUGGAUCUGUAGCUGCGCUGCAUCCCGACGGCCUGCCCAGGUUUCCCGAUUCCACGGGAACAUUCUUCCUGGAGGAGUCCACAAGUCUUCUAGCCUAGAGCCAUCUCCAAAAUCCCUACAAAGCAACAAACGGUGUGACCCAGAGUCUCAUUCUGAAAUAGACUGAAGCUCUAGGGCCGCACAGAGGACCAUUGACUGAAAUCUCACAGUGGGCCCUGGGAGGGUCAGGGGACCCUGCAGAGAGCCUGGGCAGGGUCAGCCCAGGCCCAGAAGGCUUCUCAGAGGAGGUGAUGCUGGCGGAGGCCUGCCUGUGUCCGUAUCAGGAGAAAGCAAUGUCAAGAACAGCAAGGUCGCUCACUCACUUCCUAUUGUAGAUCAGAGCUGGGAGUUUUCCUCAGAUUACUUCUCACUAAGAAGACAGCCCUCUUCUCAGGCGCCGCUGCUGACAUGUUUUGUUUUCCCCAGAUGGGGAUAAUCAGCCUGUUUGGGAGUCGGGCUGACAGCUCAGGCAGCAGGCGGGGGCUGGGGGCGGGAGGCUGCAGGCAGCUCCGAGCUCUCAGGGAGCAGACUCUGCCCUGCCUGCGUGACAAGCUCCAGCAGGUGGGGGGGAUUUCCGUUUGCGCCAAAGAGGAGCGGGCUGUAGAGUGAUUUAGCUUAGUUAUGUGAACCUUGAGAGGCUGCCCGACUCCUCUCCCCGUUUAAUUUAUGCUUGAGUGCCAGAGCUGAAGACCUUCAAGCCGUCCCCUGCUAUACCGGAAGGGACCCAUCAGGAUCCUGGCUUGGAGCUUUGCUGGGUAUUUCCAGACGUUCCACAGAAGGUGGGGACAGGGCUGGCUGUGCUCUCUCCCUCCCCUUCUCUGGGAAGACUUCCACAUCUUCCCCAUCCCUUCCUGAUGGCCCCACCCCACCGUCUCCCAGCCCUAAGAGUCUCAGCCUCACCUUCCCACCCUUGCGCAGGCCCAGGUCUGGGCUCUUCACUGACUCAUGUUUUGGAAGAAGGGGUAGAGUCACCCACCAGCCUCGGGGCUGUCUGAGGCAGGUCACAGUUGUUCUGAGGGCCGGACCCCAGGGCCUUGGGCUGCUCAGCAUUUCUAGGCACUGGGCUGGAAGGUUUGCAUCCCAGACAUAGCAGGGCUGAGGAACGGCUAUGUUAGAAUCACCUUGAGUGGAAUAACCAUGCCCACCUGAGGAUCAUGGGUCCCCUCCUGUGGGUGGGUCUCUGGAGGUCUGAGGAGGCCUGACACCUUCAGGCAGGCUGCAGUGGGCCCUUUUCUGUUCUUUCUCCCCCAGUCCCGCUUCAAGGAGGGACGACCAGGCCAGAGACAGCCUUCCUGAGAGACUUGCACCCUGCCCUCACCCAAUACACAACUGAUUUCCUUCUGUGUGGAAUGAAGCCCGUGGACUUCCCAUCUCCAAGGCCCAGCCAGCUCUCGGUUCUCUGGUUAUGGGUCCCGCCUCCCAGUCUCAGCACUUCUUUUCUGACUCCCCACUGGGCCUAACACAGAGCCUAGCCUCUGCCUGUCAGUGCUUGCCCACUUACAUCCUAUGCACCCAGAGCUGGGAGCCUUCCUCAGACUCUGGGCCUACACAAGGCAGCUGCUCCCAAGGACAAGGGUUAAUAGAGGUCUUUGAUAGAGUCUGAGGUCUUUCCAGAGGGAAAUUUAGCUCCCAGAGGGGCCUGGGUGGGGGCCUGAGAGACCUGGCCACAGACACCUAUGAGCCCCUCUGACCAUGUUCUUGGCUGCAGCCUCAUGAGGCCAUCAGGGCUCGGCGCGGGAGGCAGGGCCCGGGCUCUGUCCCCAGCUCCUGGCCACACACCUUCAGUGGCCAUGAAUCUGCCCUUCACCCCCUGCACCUCAGUUUCCUCGUCUGCCCCGCAGCAUCCAUGGGACUGCAGUAGUGUGUAUAUGCGGCUGUGGCCCCUGGGAGAGGCACCUCUGGGACCACUGGCCAUCUGGCCCUCGGUAGCCGUGUGGCGCAGAUUUCCUCCUCCGUGGUCUCCCGGGCAACGCGGAGCUGCCUGCCAAGCCUGCUGCCGGGCCUGGCUCCUGCACAGAUCUUUAGUGCCACACAGAGAUGGCUGAUGGCAGGAGCCAGGGUGAGGCCCAGCCUCCCCAGCUGUCACAGGGAGCAAAUCAGACAAAGGCUGAGUUGGGAGGGGUGGGGCGCCGGAGCCAGGGGGGCCUGGGAAAGUAGCUCGGAGGCCCCAGCUGCCCCCUCCCACCUCAUCCUCCCAAUACUGCCCUCUCAGUGACCCCUGCUUCCCAGAACACUCAGCCGUGGACCUCAGUUUCCCCAUCUAUCAAAUGGGAGGGGCCAGGUCUCUGACCCUCCAGACUAAUGGCCUAAGACAAGAACCCAGCCUGGAUGACAGAGGCCUGAGGAAUGGACAUGCUUUGAUGGCUAAUGGCCUUCAGACAGAUGCCCACACUGCCACUGCAGGACUUUGGAGGGUGCAUGUUUCAAGGGCAUUUAUUAGCUAAUGUCUCCAGGGCCAUUUGCUCCAAACCACCCGCUGCUUCUCACUCCAUGCCACUGGUGAGGACUCUUCUCCCAGGAUGGCUUUGCCCUUGUAGUUUUUUCUGCCGCUCCCAGGACUUGCAGGCUCUGGAGGCUGGGCAGUUCUGUUUUAGAUCACAGCCACUCCUGCAUUGAGGCCACCAUUCCACCCCUGCCCCGAGUGAGACAGAAGCUGGAGCUGACCUUGGGACAUGGGGUUGAAGGCAGGGUGUGCAGAGAGUAGAGAGUCCUGCAGACUGCUGCUUCUGUAUGUGAGUAGCUGGGCAGGGAGGGCAGCACCCACAGACCAAGGAUAAGGGAAGGAGGUGCUGUCCUACCUACAGCAGACCCCCAGGUCCAGAGCAGAGACCCAGGCAUUCCCCCAUCCAGGUUGGGUCCCACAAAUGACCAAGAGGCUUUCAGCACUAGCAGGCACAACUGCUGCAGUGGGGAGCUCCCUUGGGAGGGGGCAGCUGGCACCAUCAGGCAGCCAGAUAGGCAAGGAUGUUGUCGGGGGCCCCUUUUGUGAAUUAGAAUAAAAGACGCCCUCUCUUGGCAGUCAUGGCCCUGCAGUGCAUGGAUUUCAGUCCCUCACACCUCCCUAGGGUGCCAUCGAAUGGAGCAGAACCUGAAUUGCUGUAUAUAGCAGUCUGCCAAGCAGAAUUGGAGAGGCAGCGAAUCUUUGACCAAAUACUGGAAAAUCAAGGGAGGUUCCUGGCAUGGUUGCCUGGGGAAGGCUUUGCUGACCUUGAGCCUGAGCCCCAGAGGCCAGUACAGAAAGGGCAUGGGUUCAACUCAACAAAUAUGAAUUGAGAACACCUAUCCAGUGCCUGGCACUCUUUCGGAUGCUGGGAAGAGAGUGAUAUCAAGAUAGUUAAGGUCCCUGUGGUCUUGGAGCUUGUGUCUUAGAGGAAAGAGUCAGACAAUAGUAACCUAGAAAAAUUAUCAGACAGCAAAGACUUCAAACACAGGAUGGAUGGUGGGUGAAAGGUGAUGUUAGAUUUGGGGGUGGGGGGUAGGUAUCUGGCAAGACCCACUGAGCUUUAAGCUGAGAACAGAGUGAUAUGAAGGAAUCAGCAAAGUAAGCAUCAAGGGGAGGAGUGGGGCAAGUCAAGGGACCAGGUGGGAGAAGAUUGCACUGAAGGCAUGAACGUGGCCUUGUCCGGGAACUGAACAAGGAGGCUGGUAGGACUGGGGGAUGCAGAGGAGAGAAGAGGGGAUGCACUCUGGAGGCAGGGGCCAGAUCUUGGGACUCAGUCACCCACUGUGAGGGGUCUGGACUUUUUCCUCAGUGCAAUGAGAAGCCAUUUGAGGAACUGACCCAGAAGCGACUCUAGAACAAUGAUUCUCAAUCGGGUGUUAUCCUCGCAACUCCCAGGGAUUUUUAGCAAUGUCAACAGAGGGUGAGGGUAGGAGUGGUACUGGCAGCUGGUGGGUAGAGGCCAGGGACACUGCUAAACAUUCUGCGACGCACAGGGCAGACAGCUCUCCACUCCCAACAAAGAAUUAUCUGAACCCAAAUGUCAGUAAUACCGAGGUUGAGAAACUCUGCUCUAGAUGUUGGUGUCCCCCGGGUCCUUGCUCUUUUAGAAUAACCCAGGGUCACUGUACUCCAGCCUGUGGCUCUUUCUAUAUAUACUCUGGGUUCAAAUUUUAUCUUCACCGCUUGUCCAAAAUGUCAACGGUGGCCGGGCGCGGUGGCUCACGCCUGUAAUCCCAGCACUUUGGGAGGCCGAGGCGGGU
rnacentral:lncRNA from 1 species